rnacentral:rRNA from 1 species
UGUGAGCUCGAUGAGUAGGGCGGGACACGUGGUAUCCUGUCUGAAUAUGGGGGGACCAUCCUCCAAGGCUAAAUACUCCUGACUGACCGAUAGUGAACCAGUACCGUGAGGGAAAGGCGAAAAGAACCCCGGCGAGGGGAGUGAAAAAGAACCUGAAACCGUGUACGUACAAGCAGUGGGAGCCUCUUAAUGGGGUGACUGCGUACCUUUUGUAUAAUGGGUCAGCGACUUAUAUUCUGUAGCAAGGUUAACCGAAUAGGGGAGCCGAAGGGAAACCGAGUCUUAACUGGGCGUUAAGUUGCAGGGUAUAGACCCGAAACCCGGUGAUCUAGCCAUGGGCAGGUUGAAGGUUGGGUAACACUAACUGGAGGACCGAACCGACUAAUGUUGAAAAAUUAGCGGAUGACUUGUGGCUGGGGGUGAAAGGCCAAUCAAACCGGGAGAUAGCUGGUUCUCCCCGAAAGCUAUUUAGGUAGCGCCUCGUGAAUUCAUCUCCGGGGGUAGAGCACUGUUUCGGCAAGGGGGUCAUCCCGACUUACCAACCCGAUGCAAACUGCGAAUACCGGAGAAUGUUAUCACGGGAGACACACGGCGGGUGCUAACGUCCGUCGUGAAGAGGGAAACAACCCAGACCGCCAGCUAAGGUCCCAAAGUCAUGGUUAAGUGGGAAACGAUGUGGGAAGGCCCAGACAGCCAGGAUGUUGGCUUAGAAGCAGCCAUCAUUUAAAGAAAGCGUAAUAGCUCACUGGUCGAGUCGGCCUGCGCGGAAGAUGUAACGGGGCUAAACCAUGCACCGAAGCUGCGGCAGCGACACUAUGUGUUGUUGGGUAGGGGAGCGUUCUGUAAGCCUGUGAAGGUGUACUGUGAGGUAUGCUGGAGGUAUCAGAAGUGCGAAUGCUGACAUAAGUAACGAUAAAGCGGGUGAAAAGCCCGCUCGCCGGAAGACCAAGGGUUCCUGUCCAACGUUAAUCGGGGCAGGGUGAGUCGACCCCUAAGGCGAGGCCGAAAGGCGUAGUCGAUGGGAAACAGGUUAAUAUUCCUGUACUUGGUGUUACUGCGAAGGGGGGACGGAGAAGGCUAUGUUGGCCGGGCGACGGUUGUCCCGGUUUAAGCGUGUAGGCUGGUUUUCCAGGCAAAUCCGGAAAAUCAAGGCUGAGGCGUGAUGACGAGGCACUACGGUGCUGAAGCGACAAAUGCCCUGCUUCCAGGAAAAGCCUCUAAGCAUCAGGUAACAUCAAAUCGUACCCCAAACCGACACAGGUGGUCAGGUAGAGAAUACCAAGGCGCUUGAGAGAACUCGGGUGAAGGAACUAGGCAAAAUGGUGCCGUAACUUCGGGAGAAGGCACGCUGAUAUGUAGGUGAAGCGACUUGCUCGUGGAGCUGAAAUCAGUCGAAGAUACCAGCUGGCUGCAACUGUUUAUUAAAAACACAGCACUGUGCAAACACGAAAGUGGACGUAUACGGUGUGACGCCUGCCCGGUGCCGGAAGGUUAAUUGAUGGGGUUAGCGGUAACGCGAAGCUCUUGAUCGAAGCCCCGGUAAACGGCGGCCGUAACUAUAACGGUCCUAAGGUAGCGAAAUUCCUUGUCGGGUAAGUUCCGACCUGCACGAAUGGCGUAAUGAUGGCCAGGCUGUCUCCACCCGAGACUCAGUGAAAUUGAACUCGCUGUGAAGAUGCAGUGUACCCGCGGCAAGACGGAAAGACCCCGUGAACCUUUACUAUAGCUUGACACUGAACAUUGAGCCUUGAUGUGUAGGAUAGGUGGGAGGCUUUGAAGUGUGGACGCCAGUCUGCAUGGAGCCGACCUUGAAAUACCACCCUUUAAUGUUUGAUGUUCUAACGUGGGCCCCUUACCGGGGUUGCGGACAGUGUCUGGUGGGUAGUUUGACUGGGGCGGUCUCCUCCUAAAGAGUAACGGAGGAGCACGAAGGUUGGCUAAUCCUGGUCGGACAUCAGGAGGUUAGUGCAAUGGCAUAAGCCAGCUUGACUGCGAGCGUGACGGCGCGAGCAGGUGCGAAAGCAGGUCAUAGUGAUCCGGUGGUUCUGAAUGGAAGGGCCAUCGCUCAACGGAUAAAAGGUACUCCGGGGAUAACAGGCUGAUACCGCCCAAGAGUUCAUAUCGACGGCGGUGUUUGGCACCUCGAUGUCGGCUCAUCACAUCCUGGGGCUGAAGUAGGUCCCAAGGGUAUGGCUGUUCGCCAUUUAAAGUGGUACGCGAGCUGGGUUUAGAACGUCGUGAGACAGUUCGGUCCCUAUCUGCCGUGGGCGCUGGAGAACUGAGGGGGGCUGCUCCUAGUACGAGAGGACCGGAGUGGACGCAUCACUGGUGUUCGGGUUGUCAUGCCAAUGGCACUGCCCGGUAGCUAAAUGCGGAAGAGAUAAGUGCUGAAAGCAUCUAAGCACGAAACUUGCCCCGAGAUGAGUUCUCCCUGACUCCUUGAGAGUCCUGAAGGAACGUUGAAGACGACGACGUUGAUAGGCCGGGUGUGUAAGCGCAGCGAUGCGUUGAGCUAACCGGUACUAAUGAACCGUGAGGCUUAACCUUACAACGCCGAAG